rnacentral:rRNA from 1 species
GACGAACGCUGGCGGCGUGCUUAACACAUGCAAGUCGAACGGAAAGGCCCCUUUGGGGGUACUCGAGUGGCGAACGGGUGAGUAACACGUGAGUAACCUGCCCUUGACUUCGGGAUAACUUCAGGAAACUGGGGCUAAUACCGGAUAGGAAUCCUUGCUGCAUGGUGGGGGUUGGAAAGCUUCGGCGGUUUUGGAUGGACUCGCGGCUUAUCAGCUUGUUGGUGGGGUAGUGGCUUACCAAGGCUUUGACGGGUAGCCGGCCUGAGAGGGCGACCGGCCACAUUGGGACUGAGAUACGGCCCAGACUCCUACGGGAGGCAGCAGUGGAGAAUAUUGCACAAUGGGCGGAAGCCUGAUGCAGCAACGCCGCGUGCGGGAUGACGGCCUUCGGGUUGUAAACCGCUUUCAGCAGGGGCGAAGCUUGUGGUGACGGUACCUGCAGAAGAAGCACCGGCUAGCUACGUG